UCAAGUCGAAGCUCAAGCCAAAGAAAAAUCCGAGCGGAUUUGUGGCUGUUGGUCGACGGAUGCCUGCGUUGGUACCGUGCCCAUGUUUUCUCGAUAAAUAAUGACGAAUGCUUACACCUUCGAUGGCCUGGUGGUUUUUGGACUCUUGGUGAUUUGCACCUGCGCUUAUAUGCGCAGAGUUCCCCGGCUGAAGCAGUGGUUUCUGUCUGAGAAGAAGGGAUUUUGG